UUCCGGUAGCUGCUGCCUGGUUGGGCG
rnacentral:sRNA from 1 species